UUUCCGUAGGUGAACCUGCGGAAGGUUCAUUAUCGAGUUUUGACUGGGUUGUAUCUUGCCUUCCUAAGCAUGUGCACGCAGUGCUCAUCCACUCUACACCUGUGUACUUACUGUGGGUAACAUAUCGUGAAGCGGCCGUUUUUAUCGGAGCUUGUGAAGCGUUUCUGUUCCUGAGUUUAUCAAAAACACUAUAAGGUAUCAGAAUGUGUAUUACGAGGAAACGCAUCUAUAAACAACUUUCAGCAAUGGAACUCUUGGGUCUCGCCUCGAUGACGGACG
rnacentral:misc_RNA from 1 species